rnacentral:rRNA from 1 species
GAUGAACGCUAGCGGCAGGCUUAACACAUGCAAGUCGAGGGGUAGAGGUUGCUUGCAACCUUGAGACCGGCGCACGGGUGCGUAACGCGUAUGCAACCUACCUUUUACAGAGGGAUAGCCCAGAGAAAUUUGGAUUAAUACCUCAUAGUAUAUAACCUUCGCAUGUUGGUUAUAUUAAAGUUCCAACGGUAAAAGAUGGGCAUGCGUCCUAUUAGCGAGAUGGUAAGGUAACGGCUUACCAUGGCAACGUUAGGUAGGGGUCCUGAGAGGGCGAUCCCCCCCACUGGUACUGAGACACGGACCAGACUCCUACGGGAGGCAGCAGUGAGGAAUAUUGGACACUGGGCACAAGCCUGAUCCAGCCAUGCCGCGUGCAGGAAGAAGCAUCUAUGGUGUGUAAACUGCUUUUGUACGGGAAGAAACACUCCUUCGUGAAGGAGCUUGACGGUACCGUAAGAAUAAGGAUCGGCUAACUCCGUGCCAGCCGCCGCCGUAAGAC